rnacentral:rRNA from 1 species
UACGGGGGGGGCAAGCGUUGUUCGGAAUUACUGGGCGUAAAGGGCGCGUAGGCGGCUUUCUAAGUCAGACGUGAAAUCCCUCGGCUCAACCGAGGAACUGCGUCUGAUACUGGAAGGCUUGAAUCCGGGAGAGGGAUGUGGAAUUCCAGGUGUAGCGGUGAAAUGCGUAGAUAUCUGGAGGAACACCGGUGGCGAAGGCGGCAUCCUGGACAGGUAUUGACGCUGAGGCGCGAAAGCUAGGGGAGCAAACGGG